CAGUCUUGUCACAAAAUAUUAAACCUGGACCUGAUCAAGCAUCUGGACUGGCUUAUGGAUAUAGAGAAAAUGUAGGGGAUAGAUGAGCACGGGAAAUGUCUCCGUGGGGCAAAAUUCACGAAAUUCAGAUUGUUGGACACUCUCCAGGACAAAAGGUCUAGAUUCUUCAAAAACAACAACAUCGAAAAAAAAAAACUGCCAGAAAGAAAAAAUACAGAGGGAGAAGUGCAGGACACAGAACACAUUUAUGAGUCUUUUCACCCUCAUUUCGUUGAAGAUUUUAUUGGCCGAAGAACCCUCAGUAGGCACGAAAUUCAUUCUCACAAGCAGAGAGAUGCAUUAUGCUCCAUUUAUUGCUCAUCCUAAAUUAUAAACAUUUCCAGUGAAUGUAAAGGAAGAUAUGAUUGAAAAGGACUCUGUGAAGACAGGAUGUUUCUGUACAGUCCUUGUAUCUGCUCACCUAUUCCAAACUUUCCAGAGAUUUUACCAGAGGUUUAAGAUAUUCUCCUGAGGGUUUGCUGUAGAGAGAUUUUUCUUAACUAAGGAGUGCAAGUAGCAAGCAAUAGCCCACCCAGUUGGAGACAAAAAAGAAGGGUGUCAGUGUUCCCACUGUUAAAAAACAAAAAAAAAUCACCCUGGACACCUCUGAGAAUUAUACAAGGGGAUGUACACAGCCCUGCUUUAUUUGAGUUCAAAAGGAAGGUGGGUUUUGAAAGAAGAACAAGGAGAGUAGAUCUCUCUGGAUCUUCUGAUGCUCACAGCAAAGAGCUCAAGGUAUCUGAGUCAACUCUUGAGGCUUCUUCGAACAGAGGGAUGAAGAGAGAAUAUGGCAAGCUUGCCAACAGAUCCCAGAAGUUUUAAGAGAAAAGAACAGAUUGCUCUUUGCAAAACAAACCGAGCUGGGUGCAUGGAGCCCCAGUAGACAGAAAGUGAAGAAAACAUCAACGUUCUGAAGUUUUAGAUAGGUGCACCAUCCCUUAUGGAUACCAAUCUGUGCUCCCCAUAAACUUCUGUGCCCAGGGUCAACUGGCCAGGGACAACUGGCUCACCAGGAGGCCUACAUAGCCUCUUCUUCAGGCCCUAAUUACAGCUCUAUGCAAUAGGGACUCUGCCAUCUGACAGCCAAGGAGGUGGUUCGGUUUCUGCACAUGGUUUUUUCCGCUGGGUCCCUUGAGGUCCAUGGUAACCUCUUCCUCAUUCUCUACAGGCAGAUCACACUUUGUAAUAAGAUCAGAGGCAGAGAACUUUGACCAGAUCACACUUUAUAAUAAGAUCAGAGGCAAAGAACUCUGACCAGAUCACACUUUAUAAUAAGAUCAGAGGCAGAGAACUUUGACAACUAUCUCCUUGCCCUCUGGCCCUGGGGUCAGGGCUACUCAAACAACACCUGCUGUCCCAAACCCGGAGAAGUGUAGAUUUUGGCACUGGUAGAGGAAUAACAGCUAUUGUUGACACUUAAUCUUGUGGGCCUGGAAUUUCAACUAUGUUUUCACAACUCGGAGCCUAUUGCUGCCACCUCUGUCAGGGAAGAUAAAUGGGCAUGAAUAAUAGACAGAUGAGUUUCCCAAAAGCCCAGACAGGCUGCAGGGAACACGUAAUGAGCAGACAGUGUGGUUCACGCCGGGGAGCCCAGGUUUAUCCAGGCCUCAUCCUCACUCCCUUUCUCUACUGAUAAUUGGACCCAACAGGACCAUUCCGAAUCAUUUUUCUCUCUUCAGUUAUUCUUCAGUUCUACUCAAAGGGUCAGUUUAGGGCAUAAUUAAAGUCAAUUACUUUCUGAAAGGCCAUCAGGACAACUGUUAGAGAAAAUGAUAGCAGCCCCGCACUUGCUGUAGGAAUUAUUAGCUUGUCAGCCUCCAGGCUUAUGGAGACAAAGGAUCAAAAAGUUAGAGAGAUCCAGGUGUUCACCUAUUUGUUCACUAAUUCUUUUAUUGUGAGUGUGCAUGUGUGUGGGUGGGUGUGACAUUUAUUAUGAACCAGAGGGCAGGAGCCAGUGACACAGUGGUGCAGAGAAUAAUCAUAUUCCCUGCCUUCCUGGGGUCAUACAGCUUGGUGGAGGACACAGAUGUGAAUUCGGUAAUCACUCCAAUAAAUAUUCUCCUACAGAUGAAGAAAGAUGAUACGAUGUGAUGGACAACAGAGACUUAUAUGGUGGGGUCUGGGCUGGUCUUUCUGAAGCUAAGACUGGCAGGAUGAGCAGGAGUUUGCCAGACAAAGAGGAGUGGAGUUGUUUUCCAAACACAUCUCAGCACAAAGUGUUGUCUUUGCUGGGAGCUGAAAAAAGAUAGUGUGGGCAGAGACCAUUAGGUGAGACGCUUGAUAUGAGAUACAACCUCAACAGGUGGAAGAAGAUCAUGAGAGAUGAAGAGAGGAAUAUAGUACAGCAGAGAGGACACAGAAGCUGACGUCAGGGUGUCUCAGUUUGAAACCAGUGGCCACCCUGUUCCUCUCCCAUGUGGUCCCAUCAUGGGCCUCUAGGGUCUGGGAUAAGAGGUUAAUGAAUAUCUCAUACCCUAAGCAGGGGUGGUCCCUGCACUUUAGCAAAAAGUUAAGGAACUAGGGAAAAGAGAUGGAAAUAAUAAAGAGAUGGGACAAAGACUUUGAAGACCAAAGCCCCUGGGCUAUUCUCUUUUUUAAAUUUUUUUAUUUAAAUUUUCAUUUAUUUUUAUCAAGAUAGGGUCUCACUAUGUUGCCCAGGUUGGUCUCAAACUUUUGGCCUAAAGCAAUCCUCCCACCUUGGCCUCCCAAUGUGCUGGGAUUACAAUGUGAGCCACCACGUCCAGCCUCCUGGGAUAUUUCUCAAUGAAACAUUGGAUGCCAAGAUUGGUUUUGUGCCACAUGCCAAUUUCACAGAAGCCAGUCUAUGAGCCACCAGCUCUACUCAGCAAUUACAGUUUCUGGAACUUUGGCUAAAUUCCUGUAGAUGCACCACUGCUUGUGGCCUGACUCUUUGCCACCCAAGUGCGCUCAGCCUCCCCUGGGGAGUCUGCCAGGCUUGCAUGGCUCCCACUGCACUUGCUGUGCUGGGACCGAAAACAGUUUUUGUGCCCCUAGCUUAACUCCACUGGAUUCAUAGAGGCUUUGGCCUCCUCAAUGGCUGUCCUGGGACAGGGAGGCUGGUUAGCACAAUUAACACAACCUGGUCAUGCAAGGCAUUGAUGGUCCGUAACAUGAACUUUGACCAGUAGGAGACAGAGAAUGGAAAAAAGCCAGCAGAUAAAUCAUCUGGCCUUCCUCCCCUAUGACAGACUGUUCUGAGCCACAGUGUUUCACAUGUCUUCCUGGAGAUGUCCCACAUGACUUGAGCAACCAGCUGGAGCUCUGGAGAAACUGUGGCCAUCCUGGUAACAUAUGACCUUGUAUUUGCUUUCUCUCCUUCCUGCUUUAUUUCCCUAUGUCCCUUACUUUGGUUGUUGGGAUUGCACCUCCCAAUAAAGCAUUAGCAUGUCCGCUCUGCUUGGGGCUCUGUUUCCUGGGUUAAGACUCUGACUCUUGAAUGCUGAGGCAUUGUAUUGAGAAGGAGUUCAGGCUGGACUCACAGAGGAAGAAACAGGCCCAGAGAAGUUGGGUAACUCAUCAAAGGUCACAGAGCUAAGAGUGGCAGAGUCAGGCCUGGAGCCCAGGAAGUCUGGUUUCGAAUUUCAUGCUUCUAACCUGAGCACUGUACUGCUUGGUGGAGUUCUCUGCUAGUCCUACCUUUCAGGCAGAGGGUGAUGCAGCAAGAAAGCUGCCACCAGAUGCAGCCCCUUGAUCUCGGACUGCCCAGCCUCUAGAACUGUGAGCCAAUUAAAUUUUUCCUUUGUAAAUUACCUAGUCUCUGGUAGGAGUUGAAGAGCAAUUCCCUCCAGUUUCCAUUAGAAAUGCUUCUUCUUCCAUAUCAAAUAUUGUGAGAUAGCCUGAAACACCUUUCAACACUUUACUACCCUUCUCCAAAAUUCAACAGAUAUGAUUUCCACGGACUUUACUCACAGGGGCUUCAGUAGAAGAGGAAGAGGCUUGGGUUUAAUUGAAGGUGGCCUGAGACAUCUGUGAGGAACAGCCCUUUUAGAGACAUAUCCCCUACAAAUAAAGCAUCAGAAUUAUUAUCCUAAUACAUGAACAUCC
rnacentral:lncRNA from 10 species